GCAUGGGUGGUUCAAUGGUAAAAUUCUCACCUUCCAUAGAGAGACCUGGGUUAGAUUCCUGGCCAGUGCA
rnacentral:tRNA from 1 species